rnacentral:rRNA from 1 species
AGUGAACGCUGGCGGUAGGCCUAACACAUGCAAGUCGAACGACAGCACAGUAAGAGCUCGCUCUUACGGGUGGCGAGUGGCGGACGGGUGAGGAAUACAUCAGAAUCUACUUUUUCGUGGGGGAUAACGGAGGGAAACUUACGCUAAUACCGCAUACGACCUACGGGUGAAAGCAGUGGAUCUACGGACCUUGCGCGAUUGAAUGAGCCGAUGUCGGAUUAGCUAGUUGGCGGGGUAAAGGCCCACCAAGGCGACGAUACGUAGCUGGUCUGAGAGGAUGAUCAGCCACACUGGAACUGAGACACGGUCCAGACUCCUACGGGAGGCAGCAGUGGGGAAUAUUGGACAAUGGGCGCAAGCCUGACCCAGCAAUACCGCGUGGGUGAAGAAGGCCUUCGGGUUGUAAAGCCCUUUUGUUGGGAAAGAAAAGCAGCAGGUGAAUACCCCGCCGUUCUGACGGUACCCAAAGAAUAAGCACCGGCUAACUUCGUG